UCAAAUUUUAGUAUCAAUAUAUAUCAUCUUCUUUACUGUUCUGCCUCUAAAUAUUAAACUUUAAUCAAGUUGUUUUUGUUUGUGUAAGUUAUCAGGUUAAGGAUACUAAGCCGCUUAUUAAGGCAAAUGUCAGAAUGAAGAUUGCUCACCACACCUGGUAUGCAUGAUGGUCAGGAAGAUUAAUUGUUCACAAGCCAAUUUGAUCAGUGUUAGAUUUUUUGCCUCCUUUCGAGGGACAUCAUCAUCAAAUUUGAGUAGAGAAUCUUUGAAGGAAUUUUGUUGAAAGAGUUUCACAGUAGUGAAUUCUGGGAGCUCGAACUCACUUGAGUGAGAUAUUAGGGAGUGUUGGGGAUUUGGGUUAUGAGUAAUCAUUAUCCUUCCAAUAUGUGUAAGCACUCACUUGUUAGUAAAAUCAUCUUCGUAUAUUGACUAUGUUUCUUUGUUAUCAGGUAGAGUGUGAUCUUCAAGGGUUUGAGAAAGUCCUUGCAGUAAAGUUUCCACCACAAGCAAUUGCUGCGAAGAGGCAUAUACAUUUGAGAAGUUCAGUUUCAGAUUUUCUAGGCGUGUAUGUUUAAUUAGUUUCGAUUAUAAUAUUUAGUCACUCAUUCUGAAUCUUUUCUAAUUUUCAAGUUCCUUAGGGCCACGACCUGUUUUUCAAGUCUGCAUGUGGCUGCAAAAAGAUUGAUGGUCAUAAAAUUAUCUUGACCCUUGAGCCAUUGCGUUUGAGCACAAACAGAAACAGAGCUAAAGGAAAAGAAUUUGACGCAAGAAGAUGCUCUGAAUAUAACAAAAGUAUAUUUCUACUUCUUGUGGUUAUUUACUUUUGUUUCUCCUGUCAGCAUAUUUGAUUAAUUCGUUCGAAUUCACACUCUCACACAUUAUUUAAAACCAUUUGUAGGUGGCUUGCAAGCUAAUUAAGUUAAUGCAGAAGCAAUACUCUAGACAAAGAUGAGCAAAUUGAAGGUGAUAAAUGCAUAUAUGGCGGCCAAAUCGCUUAUUAUAUUUCAUCUCUCAAUCUAAUAUGAUUCUGAAUUUUAAUUUCCAUGAAUAAUUGUUAGGCUGGUACAGAUGUUCUUAAAAGGGCCAUUAAACUACCUUAUGAAAUUGGAAAGUUGCUAUUGCUUGAAUGAAAGCACCAUCUUCUGUUACCAAGGCAUUCCCCACAUGAUGAGAUUAUGUGAUUGUUACCGGCUUCUUAAUUAUUUGUUAAAUCAGGUUUUUCUUAUCAAGUACAUCAUCUUAUUCACCAUUUUGGCUAUAUCAGAAUCUGCUAAUUCCAUGAUGUCAAAGCAAGCUCAAGCACUAGAUCCCUAAUAAUAAUGCAUUGCAUUUUCAUUUUAUUUUUAGGUUGACUUUUAAGACCCUAUGGAGAACAUUGGGGUAAUCAAGGAUUAGGCUGGUGAUGGAACUACUUCCACUGUGGUGUUGUGUGCAACGUUCAGUUGCUGGACUUUGAAGAAGAAAGUGAUGGCCAGGUCUGCUCUGUUUCAAUUCAGGAUGGAUAGCUGCCUGGAAGGCAUGAUGAUUAUUAUUGCAUGAUAUUAAGGUACUAAGAUCAUCAUUUCUGUCUUGUUUUUUUCUUUGAUCGGUUUAUCCUCUAUAAGCAAAUUCAAUUAUGCUAAUAUUACCCUUUUUUCACCCAAUUUUCACUGUUGGUUGUAAUAACAAUUUCAGGUAUUCAAAAGCUACAGAGCAAAGCACAUGUGGGCUGAUCACAUGCUUCCAUGGAGGAAGGAAUUCGGUAUUGACACUAUUAUGCAGGUAACCGCAGUUGUUAAUUUACACAAAUUUGCAUUGUCAGAAUGCCCUUUAAUAUUCACUGUGUUUCUUUUUGUUACUCAGGUUACCAUGGUAGAUAGAGUAUCAUCUUCGAGAGUUUGUAAGAGCCUUUGCAGUAAAGUUACCUGCUCGAGCAAUUUUACAUUCAUCGAGUACAAUUUUGGAUUUUCAAGGUUUGUAUGUUUAGUUGCGAUUAGCAGGCUUAGUCACUCAUUCCUAAUCUUUUCUGAUUUUCAGGUUAUUUAGGUCCAUUAACAGUUUUCACACAUGUUUCAAUGCUAGUUGUAAUAACAAUUUCUUAUCUUGCACCUCUAAGGUGCAUCACGUUUGAAACAGCUUUUGCGGUAAAGUUUCAAUGCUUGUACAAUGGCCGUGAAGAGGUACAUUUAAUUCGGUACGUUUUGGUGCGGUCUUCUAAUGCUAAUAUCAUGUUGUGUAUAUUUAGUUUGCAAUUAAAACUUAGGUAUACAAUCUUAAUCUCCAAUAAAUCAUUGUGUACAAAGUUUUCUAUUAAUUAUAUGGUGACUGAAAGUUUAAUUAUCUUAAAAUUUUUUGUAACUCUCUUUUACUUUGCUUGUACAGAGUACCUGUUUUGGCUGACAUGUCUAAUUAGUAGAAAUUCAUUUCCAUGGGUUUCCAUUGGUUUGAGCACAUACAGAAACAGAGCUUUACUUCUUGAGGUGUUAUGCCUUUGUCUCUUCAUUCACCAUAUUUGUUCGAUUACGUUGUCUCAUUAAGAAUUUAAAGCCUUUUUCUAGGCAGCUUUGUGGCCAAUUUUUUAUGCCAUCAAUGCAUGAUUGUCAUUUAGAUUUUCCAAAUAAUUGUUAGGUGGGGAAGAUAUUGUUAAAAGGGCAUUUAAUUAGCUACGUCCCCUAUGAAUUUAGUUGCCAAUAUUACAUUGAAAUUGAGAAGGAUCAUAGUUGAGGAAAGUUAUUGUCUUAAUUAAAUUACAGGUGAUAAGAUGUUGCUUGAAUUCAGCAUCUUGUAUUGCGAUGAUUUUGCCCACAUGAGGUUCUGUGAUUCUUGACAUCAGGAUAACUCAGGUCAAUUUUUUUGUAUCAGCAUAUAUCAUCUUCUUUACUGUUUUGCCUUUAAAGAAUAAACUUUAGUAAAGUUGUUCUUGUUUGUGUAUGUUAUCAGGUUAAGGAUACUAAGCAGCUUAUUAAGGCAAAUGUCAGAAUGAAGAUUGUUCACCACACCUGGCAUGUAUGAUGGCAAGGAAGAUUAAUUCUUCACAAGCCAAUUUGAUGAGUGUUAGACAUUUUCAGAUUUUUGGCUUUAUAUAUUAUUAGAGCUCUCCCAAUAACUGCAAGCUUUCAUUUGUUUGUAAAAUCAUCUUCUUAUAUUGAUUGUGUUUCCUUGUGUUAUCAGGUAGAGUAUCAUCUUCAAGGGUUUCAAAAAGUCUUUGCAGUAAAGUUUCAACCAAUUGCUGUGAAGAGGCAUAUUCAUUUGAGUAAUUCAGUUUCAGAUUUUCAGGGCGUGUAUGUUUAAUUAGUUUUGAUUAAAAUAUUUAGUCACUCAUUCUGAAUCUUUUCUAAUUUUCAAGUUCCUUAUGGCCACAACCAGUUUUUCAGGUCCGUAGGAACUAUCUUGAGCGUUGAGGAAUUGCGUUUGAGCACACACAGAAACAAGGCUAAUGGAAAAGAACUUGACAGAAGAAUUAUGCUCUAAAUCUAACAAAAGUAUAUUUCUACUUCUUUUGGUUAUUUUACUUUUGUGUUUUCUGUCAUCAUAUUUGAUUGAUUCGUUCGAAUUCAGACUCUUUCUCAUCAUUUAAAACCAUUUUCAGGUGGCUUGCACGCUAAUUAAGUUAACGCAGAAGCAAUACUCUAGACAAAGAUGAGCAAAUUGAAGAUGAUAAAUGCAUAUAUAGUGGCCAAGUCGCUCUUUACAUUUCAUCUCUCAUACGAACAUGAUUUUGAAUUUGAAUUUCCAUGAAUAAUUGUCAGGCUGGUGUAGAUAUUCUUAAAAGGGCAUUAAGCUACCUUAUGAAAUUGGAAAGUAAUUUUGUAAUCAUUUCUGUGCAAUCAAGAAUGUAAUUUUGUAAUUAUUCAACUCUGCUUCCGCGAACAUGCGGUAUCUUGCAGAUUUUUUUCUCCCUUUUUCUUUCUGCGUUAAAACUGCAACAAAUGGAAGUGACUGGCUUGAUUUUAGCUCCUGUAAAAAAGUGCUUGGGGCAAUGUCUUUUGUAUCAGCAAGUUAUCAAACAUCAUAGUUUAAAUAUAGAAUCCUGAGUUGCUAUCGAAAAUUCCAGGUCUUUCACCUCUCAGUUUCUUAAAAGCUACAAAGCUUGAUAUAUAUUGACAAAGCAAACCGUCUGUGGGCUGAAAUGCUUCCACGGAUCAGGAAGGAAUUUCGUGUUGACACUAUAUGUUAUGCGGAUAACUACAGUUGAUAGUUUUUACCCAAAAUAUGUCAGAGUUGACAAUUCACUUACAGUGUUUCCUUGUGUUACCAGGCCCUCAUGUGUGAAUUGAAAGAUUAAGAAAGAUUGAUUCUUACUGACUUAUGCAAUUGAAGAUUAUGAAAAAGCAUUUGCACUAAAGUUCCCAGCUUGUUUAAUUGCUGUGAAGAGGCACAUUCAUUCUGAGUACUUGAGUUUUAGAUUUCCAAGAUGUGUAAUUUUAGUUGCCAUUGAAAUAUGUAGUGGCUCAUUCUUAAAAAUCUGUUCUAAUUUUCCUGUUAUUUUGGGCCAUAAACAGUUAAAAAGUCUGCAUGUGGUUUCUAAAGAUUGAUGGUUAUGAUAAAUAUUGUGAGGUAUGAAAUAUUAGUUUGCUAUAAAUAUGUGUACAAAAUGUUUCUAUUACAUGGGGACUGAAAUUGUAACUUGCAGGGUCAAAAGAAAUCCUAAUUUGCGUAAGUGUCUGCAUUUGUGUACAAAGGAAAAAUAAGAAAUUCUGCUACAUGGGGACCGAAAUUUUAAUUGGCAGGGUCUUCAUCAAAUGUUUGUUAUCAAUACUGAUCCCGGAAUGUGUGGAACACGGUGAAAAGUUUUUCAUAGUUUUGCGAAGAAGGCUGAUUUAUCUGAUUCAUAGAAUUGUGAAAAGGGCAUCGGGCGGGGGACAAAAGAAGUGUUGAAAUUGAAAAGGUUAAUGGUUGAAGCAUGCAGUGUUGCAAUUAAGUUAUUAUUGUCUUGAAAUAACAGGAGAUGAUCAGAUGCUGCUUAAUGCAUGCAGUUUCUGUUGCAAUUGUAUUGGCCUGGGUUUAGGGAACUGUCAGAACUUUCAGAAGAAGAUGGAGUUUCUCAAACCAAAUAUAAGAAGAUAUCUCACAUUCCCCACAUGGUCUCAAUGCACAGGUAAGUUCUUCUCUAGCUCUGUUUUUCAUUGUUUUUUAUUUUUAAUGUAAAUAAGGAGCAGAGUUAAUCUCUUAUGUUGACCUUGCUUUGAGAAAACUGCUUUUACAUGUAUUUUUAAUUCAGAUGUCCACAAUAAUUUCAUUUUAGUUUGAGCUAAGUGAUAACUGUUGAAGGCUCACUCACUCAUUGGGAGAAGCUCCAUGACGCAGGCUGCUGGGAUUAGCUAGUGCAAUUGCUGUGAAGAGGCACAUUCAUUGGGAGAAAUUAAAUUUUAGAUUUUCUUAGUGUGUAUGUUUGGCUGCGAUUAAAAUGAUUUCUCUCGUUGUUAAUGAUUUCUGAUUAUCCCGUUCUUUAUGGCCAUAAACAGUUUUCCACGGGCUGCAUGUGGCGGCAAAAGAUUCAUGUUGAUAAGGCUAAUGCUAAGUUACAUGCAUGUAACUUAGGGAGAUCCUGUUGAUAAUUAUAUCUUGUGGUAUGUGUGUUGCAUUUGAGCACAUGCAGAAACAGAGCUGAAGGAAAAGCAAUUGACCCUAGAAGAUGUUGCAAAUAUAACAGAAGUAUAUUUCUACUUGCGGUCAAUUUACAUUUGUUUCUUGUGUCAUCCUAUCUCAUUCAUCAUUUUGGACAGAGUUUGGAAAAAAAAAAUUAUACGUAAAUCACUUUCCAAUGGUUCAGUGAUUUUUGAUUGGUUGUAAAAUGUUGAACCUCUUUUCAGAUUUCCAAAUAACUGUUAGAUUGGAGAAGAAUAAGAAGAUAUUAUUAAAAGGAUAUUUAAUUAGCGCUCUCUGAAUUUAGUUGCCAAUAAUGCAUUGAAAUAGUUGGGGAAAGUUAUUAUCUUAAUUAAAUUACAGGUGAUAAGAUGCUGCUUCAAUUUUGCAAGCAUCUCGUAUUGUGAAGAUUUUGCCCACAUGAGAUGUCGUGAUUCUUCUGCUUCAAUACAGGUCAAAUUUUAGUAUCAAUAUAUAUCUUCUUCUUUACUGUUCUGCCUCUAAAUAUUAAACUUUAGGCAAGUUGUUUUUGUUUGUGUAAGUUAUCAGGUUAAGGAUUCUAAGCAGCUUAAUCAAAUUUGACUAGAGAAUCUUUGAAUAGAAUUUUGUUGUGAGAGUUUCACUGUAGUGAAUUUUGGGAGCUUGAACUCACUUGAGUGAGAUAAUAGAGUGUAUUGGAGAUUUGGGUUAUGAGUAAUCGUUAUCCUUCCAAUAUUUGCAAGCUCUCACUUGUUAGUAAAAUCAUCUUCGUAUAUUGACUCUGUUUCUUUAUUGCCAGGAAAGUGUGAUCUUCAAGGGUUUGAGGAAGUCUUUGCAGUAAACUUUCCACCACGAGCAAUUGCUGCGAAGAGGCAUAUACAUUUGAGUAAUUUAGUUUCGGAUUUACAAGGCGUGUAUAUUAAAUUAGUUUCAAGUUCCUUAGGGACACUACAGUGUUUCAAGGCCGCAUAUGGCUGCAAAAGAUUGAUGGUCAUAAAAUUAUCUUGAGCCUUGAGGCAUUGUGUUUGAACACACACAGAAACAGAGCUAAAGGAAAAGAAGACAGUAGAAGAUGCUCUAAAUAUAACAAAAGUAUAUUUAGAGCAUUUAAUUAGCUACGUCCCCUAUGAAUUUAGUUGCCAAUAAUAACUUGAGUGUCGAGGAAUUGCGUUUGAGCACACACAGAAACAAGGCUAAUGGAAAAGAACUUGACAGAAGAAUUAUGCUCUAAAUAUAACAAAAGUAUAUUUCUACGUCUUGUGGCUGUUUUGCUUUUGUUUCUUCUGUCAUCAUAUUUGAUUAAUUCGUUCGAAUUCACACUCUCACACAUAUUUAAAACCAUAUGUAGGUGGCUUGCAAGCUUGCUAAGUUUACGCAAAAACAAUACUCUAGGCAAAGAUGAGCAAAUUAAAGGUGAUAAAUGCAAAUCGAAUUUCCAUGAAUAAUUGUUAGGCUGGUGCUGAUAUCCUAAAAGGGCAUUAAGCUACCUUAUGGAAUUGGAAAGUUAUUAUGCUUCAAAGCAAGCAGCGUCUUCUGUUGCGAAGGCUUUCCCCACAUGAUGAGAUGCUGUGAUUGUUACCAGCCCCGUAUUUAUUAACUCAGGUCAGUAUUAUCAACUACAUUAUCAUUUUGGCUAUAUAUAAAGAUUAAAAUUUUGAACACUUGUCUCGGUUUCUUGUGUAAUCAGGCUACUAGAGCAAAUGUUUACUGUCUAAGCACUAAUGCGACAAUCCCAUCUGUAAAUUUGGGCCAUCUUUGAUGUCUGACAGGUUAGCUGUGACAAUCCCAUCUGUAAGUACUAAAGCGCCUGGUUAUGGUGCUUUCAUUGGACUAUAUGCAAACGUGAGAUAUCAGCUAUUGUGUGGAUUUGAUAGAGCGGUCACCAACCAUUUUGAUGUUAUUGGAGUAGCACUGUUCUUAAGCACGGCUUUGAGGUCUCUCCGUCUCUCUUUUACGUAUUUGUCUAUUGAUCGACAUCUCUAAAUAUACAUUGAUAGACCAAAUUACUCUUGUUUUAAUGUUUUGUUUGUUGAACUUUGACUGGGUUAUUUGUUUAUUUGUCUCAUAUGAUGUUAAUGCGGUUCCUAUAAAAGUGGAUAUAGAUCUAUCACCUCAAAGUCUGAUUUCAAUUUUCCUUUACUUAAUCAACUAGCAUCCUUUCCAAGUCCAGAUACUUACCAAUAGUGAGACUUUGCUACGGAAGUACAAUUUCUCUUGUUUUACAGUUAAGUAUGUAAGAAUAGUUUCAAAUUUACAGAAUUCUGAUAUAGUUCUCUAAGGAAAUGCGGGUGGUGAAUAUGGUUCCAACUUUUAAUAGGCUUUAAUAGGCCCAUUUGUUCAGCCACAGUGAUUGCGGUCUAAAUUCUUCUUUACUGUCUAUAUGUGUUGGAGUUUGUCUAUUGUCCAACUUCUCCAAUGGAUUCCAUGCAGGGUUUUGAUGGUCUAAUUAGGAGAAAGAUCAACGGAUGACCUUUUGAAGAAGGCUUACACAACAGCCCAUCUCAGGAUGUCAUGGCUCAGCUCAAAAGUCCCCAGGUGGUUGAUACCAAAGAGUGCCAUUGUUUCUGGGCUUGGGCUCCUUGGCGUCAAACAAGAUAGUCCGGAGUAAGGUGACUGCAUAAAUUUCUUGGAGUUAAUGUAGUCAAUUGCCCAAUUUUGGUGCCUGUCGAAGAGACACAGCAUGGAAGUCGUCAUCAAACUCUGAGACACCUAAGAACUAGUAGGAGGUGGUGGUAUUCACCUGGUGUCUAAAUACUAUAUGUGAUACAACGUUGCAUAUUCCAAUUUUUCUCCAGUUAAAUUCUAGUGAGUUAGGAAAUUUAAUUUUGUUUUAGCUAUGAAUUAUUUCCUAGAUAAUAAUAAUUGCCAUGUUCCUUUAGAGUCUUAUUUACUCCAACUUUAGGAAAUUCUAGUGAGUUAGGAAAUUCUAGUUAGGAAAUUAUGUACCAUCAACCAGUUUUUUCUAACUUUUUUAAAAAUACACUAUUCUUAUUUGACUGACUUGAUUUUACUGACAUAAUUUUCUCCCAUUUCUAUAUUAUCGACGUUGAGUGCAUCUAAUCCACAAGUCUGAUUGAGCCAAAAGUCUAAUGACAAUCACGUCCAAAGAUGCCGUUAUCACAAAGCCCUGGAUAAUUAAAGAGGUCAUUGUUCGAAAGAAAGAAUGAUUUGUUGGUAUGAAAUUACGUUAAAAUGAAUAUAUCACUUUUUUUUUUUGGCGUGAGUGAUGGCUUCGUUUAAUGACAGUUGGCAGACAAUGAGUCAUCUUUUAAUUUUAGUUUUGAUUUAUUAUAAAAUAUUAAUUUUUGUAGUUUCAGUAGAUGAAAUUUCGAAUCAAAUAUUAAUAUCGUUAAAGUACGCAACUCAAUAUUUGCUUAAAUCAUAAAAAAAAUAAUUGCUUUACAUUAAAAAAAAUAACAAGUGAUCACUUGAUUUAACUUCCUUUACUAAAUUUACGAUUUAAAAUCCAAAAUAGAAAAACGAAAACAAUUUUUGAAAUCACACUCGAAGUUUUAAAUUGACAUGAAAAAAGAGCUUAUUAUUGAUUAUCUUUUUCCUAAAAUUUAAGGUAAGAUAACAAUAUGUCCAAAAUACCCUCCGCAUUAUCCCAAAACUUUAUAAACUCCCCCGUUCCUCUGAACAUCAUCUCUUCCAAAUCUUUCUCCCCCAAAAAACCAGCCAUGGCUUCAUAUUCAAUUACCGCAACACUCCAAUAUUUGCUAUAAACCACCCCCAAAUCCUCAACUUCACAUGGACUCAGAACCAAACACUAGCUUCCUCCCCACACUUCCUCAUUCUCUCCAUCCUCACUUACCUCUCCCUCACAUUCAUCCUCUACCACACAUCAACAUCAACAUCACGACCAUCAUCACCUUUCAUUGGACCCCACAUCCUCAAGCCCAUCACAGCCGUCCAUAACCUCACCCUCCUCCUCCUGUCCCUCAUCAUGGCCGUUGGUUGCACUCUCUCCAUCAUCCUCCAUUUACCCCACCUCCAUUGCACCCUCUGUUUCCCCCCUACCAUUUCUCCGUCUGGCCCCCUCUUCUUCUACCCUUACAUCUUCUACCUCUCCAAAAUACUCCAAUUCUUAGACACCCUUUUGAUCAUUUUGUCAAACUCCGUCCAACGGCUCACGUUCCUCCACGUCUACCACCAUGCAACCGUCGUCGUUAUGUGCUUCCUUUGGUUACAGACGAAGCAGUCUUUAGCUUCUUCCCAAAUUCAUCAAUGAACCCCAAAACCAGUCUAAUCAUUAAAAUUAUUAACAACCAUUUGCUUGGAUCAAUGUACACUUGGCAUGUCUAUGGGCUUACUUGGAAUGGUCGCUGAUGGCCAUGGGCUUGCUUGGAUUGGCCGGGUACAGCCAUGGGCUUGCUUGGAAUGCCCGUACCCAGCUGCCAUGGUUUUGCUAGCGUAUCCAUGGGUUUUGUUGGACAUGGCAGUGCGAGGCCAUGGGUGUUGCCGGGCAAUGGACAUGGGUUUUGCUGGGCUGAUUUGGAAUUAACGGUGGCUAUGGAGUUGUAAGUGUGUGAAAGAGAAAAAAAAAAUGAACGAAGAAGAAGAUGAACAGGGAAUAGAACGAAGAAGAUGAAGAAAGUAGAAGAGAGGGAAAAAAUAUUUUACUUUUUUUAUAAAUUUUCCGAUUUUUAUUUCAAAAUUUAAAAUUUUUGUUUAAAUUCGAGAAUCUUAAGGGUAAGAUUUUCUUUGUAUCUAUGUGUAGAAGGAGGUUUUUAGAUGGUUUUUGGUUGGGCUAACAUAAAAUAUGCUUGUUUUAUGAAAUAUUAUUAUUGAGGUUUUGUUUUAUUUUCUAAAAAAUAGAUUAGAGGAUGAUUUUCAUUAAUGACACACAUAAAGUUUGAAUUAGUUAUAUUUUAGAAAUAGUACGGAUAUAAGUGAUAUAUCUUUCCAACAUAAAUAUAUCAGUAACAUAAGUUAUUCUAUAAUUAACAGGGGUAUUAUCGUAUUUUAGUGAGUCAAUAUUUUUUUUAUUUUGUAUCAAUAUUGGUUGAUAGUUAAAUUUAACAGAUUUUAGAGAGUAAAUUGAAGUUUUUAUUUUUUAUUUUUGAGUAAAUUAAAAUAUGUCAAUAUUGGUUGAUAGUUAAAUUUAACAGAUUUUAGAGAGUAAAUUGAAGUUUUUAUUUUUUAUUUUUGAGUAAAUUAAAUUGAAGUAUUUCGGUUCUACCCGAAAUACUUCUUUGUAUUGAAAUCAAUGAUGAUUGCUUGUUUAAAUAAUGAAAGUUGAAAUAAUUUUGUAAAUAAUUUCAUUCUUUAAUUUACGGUAUACAAAUAAAUUCAAAAAAUGUUAAUUUCUCUCAUACUAAUUUUAGGACUCAAAAAAUAACAAAAAGUCUUAACAUAUUUAAUGGUUAUAUAUAAAUCAUCCGUACGUAUUUUAUUUAAGCUAAUAGAGUAAGAAGUCCCAAAUACAUGUACAUCAAUUCGAUAGACAAUGCUCCCCUUAAUUUUCUUUUCUAAUUAGAUAAAAGAACAAGAGAAAUUGAUUACAAUAAUUCACGGCGAAGUCACCUUGGUCUACCUGAUAUAUAUUACAGAGGUUAGCUUCUUUUUAAUGCCAAACUUGAAUAACAAACAUUAAUUUACUUCUUAAAGGGUAAAAACCUCAAUUUGUCCUUAUAUUUGUUCAAAAGAUACAUUUUGUCUUCUUAAUAUAAACAAGUUAAAUUGAUGUUUCACAUCUUUUAGAAAUAAAUUAAAGAUUGUUAUUUUAAGUAGGAGGUAAAUUUCAAAUAAAACAUGUGUUCAUAUGAUAGAUGUGCAUUUUACAAUAAUUAAUAAACAAAAGGGUAGUGAUAUUUUCAACCUGUAAUUUUUGUAAAUCCACCCCCACUCCCAAGAAAUAAUUACAAUAAAUUCACAUAACUUUUUUAAAACUCAAAUAAAGAAAAAUUUUGGAGAUUUAAACUAUUGUAUACAAGAGGAUAAGAGUAAAUAUUUUUCAUGCAGUAUAAAAAGAAUGCGACAGCUCCUUUUCUUUCGGUAUUUUCACAACAAAAGCACACUUAAUAACUCAUCAAAUUAUUUCUCCUUUUCUUUGAUCGCUUCCCCUCUCCUGGAGCUGCUGAACUCCUUUGUUGCUGAUGAAGGGAACAAGUGAGGCUUUUCAAAAGAGGGCAAAGAGAUGGUGAUUCGAUUUGAUUCGAUAAUAGUAGUUUAUUUUAAUUGUUAUUCAUUUGAUUUCAUAGAAGUAAUUUUUAUUUUCAUUUUUUGUUGAAAAUUGGUAAAAACGAACUAAAAUGAGAUAAUUACAUUAAAACAAUCUUCAAUGACUAAAGUAAUUUGAAAAAAUAAAAAUAAAAAUAAACAAGCUCAAAAUUUACCCCUAAUCCGAACAUUAUCCGAAUUCAGCCUAAUUGACCCAAAUCUAAUUGUAAUCCAAACUUGACAUGACCCGCAUAUAAUUAUAACUCGAUCAGAUCCAAACUCGACCUGAAUUUUUAAUUCAAUACGAUCCAAUCCAAAUAUUCCAAUCCCAUCAAAUUGAAACUUGAUCGGGUUGAUCCGAACCCGAAUUUGCCACUUCCGGAGGAGACCAUGACCCUAAAGGCUUUGAAAUAAUCUUUGCGGUUUCUUAAUGAAAUAUUAAAAGUUAUGUGCAAAAAGACUGAUUUGACCCUAGAAUACAUGAUAUAUAAAUUUCAGACAUUAUAUUCUGUGAAAUAAAGUCAAAGUAAACUGGUCGUUUGAUUUUUUUAUUAAUUAUUUUCCAUUAAGACAAAAUGACAAAUAGACUUUUUUAAAAGUUUAAUAAAGUUUGGGCCUAACUCCUUGAUUUUUAUUUUUUAAUUAUUUUUCAUUUUGUUUUUUACUUGCAACAUUAGCUUUAAUUAUCAAUCAGUCUCCAAAUCAAAAUGACUGAAACCUGUAGCUACAAGCAAAAUUCUCAAAUUUUGAAAUUUCUAACGACUACAUAAUAGUAAUAAAUAGAAAAAUCAUCUAAAAUUGAUCCUCCUUCAGAGGCAGAUUAAAUUCUUAGUAAUUUCAUAUAAUUUCAUUUCAUCAGAACAAUUUUCCAAAAGCAAUUUUAUAAAUGGUUGUCGAAAGCUUUAUCCCUUAAUUAUAUUUUAGUUAUUUUCUUUGUGAUAUGAGGCGUGUCCAUAGACCAUAGUAUGAUAUUUAUUGUAAUUAAAAUCAUUAUGGAACUGAUUUUAUUCUUUUUUCUCAAACAAAGUAUCUAACUGCAGAUGUAAUAAAUUACUAAUUGCCAUUAUUUGAGUCGCGCUCUUUGAAUUAGAUCUUGGAGUUUCAAAUGACCAAAUGAAUUAGUAAGAUAAUGGCUUAUCGUUCCAAGAGCUAUGCUAAGAAAAAGCAGGGAUGAUCAGAACAAAUUCUGUUCAUUGCAAUUGACAGAGAUGUUUUCAGUUGCCUAGACUUCGUAUUUUCAGUUUUAGUAAUACAUGUCGUUUUUCACCACAUUUGUUUAGUCUCUCCCUUUUAAAUCCCCUCACACACAAAAAAUUAGGAUUUGUAUUUUGUAAACUAAUAUUUUUCAUUUUGUUAAUGUAUUAAUUAUUAUUAUCUACAUUUAUGUGAUAGGGCACAUGCCACAUCAACUAAAAUUAAGUUAUAAAAUUUUGCAGCCCCUGAGCACUCAAUGUUUGUUGGCACAAGUUCAAGUCCCACCAUUUGUUAGGAUUUAAAUAAAGAACAUUAUAACCAUGCGUCCAAGAACUUAAAGUUAGCUUAAGUGCAUGGAUUUUCGAGUCCUAGUUAUUGUUGGAAUUCGAUUUCCUUUCUAAUUAAAUUGGGUAGGGGUAAAAUUAUCUCUCAAUUAAUAAGGACAAAGUAGAUAUCUCUCUCGAUUUUCCUCCCAAUUAAAUUAGUUAGAAGUAAAAUUAUCUCUCGAUUAAUAAGAGUAGAAUAAAUAUCUCUCUAGUAUUAUGCAAGGGUAGAAAUUUGGGCUGUACCAUGUUAGAAUUAUCAAGGAUAGUUUUGAUAGAAUUCUAAUUGUAAUAUAUGAGUGUAUAAAAAAAAUGAACAUCAAUGAAAGAUGUUUAGGUAAGGACUAUCUUGGAAUGGAAUUUUGAUUGUAAUAUAUCAGUAUAUAAAAAAAAUUAUGAAAAAUGUUUAACAAGGACUAUUUUGAUAUUUUAAUGAGUAGUAAAAAUUAAUGUUAAAAUUUGAUAAACGAGUGUAUAGUAAGAUGUUCAAAGUGUUAGAACAUAUAUAAAUAAUCCUAGCUCUAAUAAAAUUUUGCUACAUAAUUAGUUUAUCCCUUAAAGAAACAUAUCAAAAAAAUAUACAAAAACACAAUGCAUGAGUACAUGUCAAUCACAAAUGAAAGCAAUUAAGAUAAAGAAUAUGAUUUAUUUUAUUUUAUUUUAGUUAUUUUUUUAAUUAUUUUUUGUUUCUUUUGAAACAAGACCAAUUAGAUCAUGCAAGAAGUAAUUUUUUUUUUAAAAUAAAAAAAAGGAGAAAUGAUGAAACCCACGUCCAAAGAUGCCGUUGUCGCGGAGGCCUAGAUCUCACUACACCCCAUCCCCUUCUACCAUAUUUUAUAAUUGAAGAGGCCAUUAUUGAAUUGAAAAAUUAUGAUUCAAAAACCCAAAAAUAGAAAAAGAAAAGCAAUUGUUGGAAACACACUCGGAGUUUUAAAUUGACAUGAGAAAAGAAUAUAUUCAUCAACCUCAUACGUUAAUGAUGCGACGAGUUUGAGAUUAUGAGCCAAAUUCCUAACGUGUGGGAAUUUAAAGAUGUUACUACAAAACAUGUGUUCGUCGGUGGAGUAGAAUCAGGGAAAUUAAAGAUGCUACUACAACCACUAACGUGUGGGUGGGGAUAAGCAUAACUUUUUUCAUCAAAUGCCAAAUCCCCCCAGGUGGAGAGUGGGGACUCCUUUGCAUAAAUGUUCAUAAAAUUUUGACUAUGAUGUUAUUAGAAAUUGGGGAAACAUGUGGUGCAAUUGUGGUAUCGUGUCACAGUUACAUCCAGCCGUUGGAUGUCAGUGGACCCUACUCAUGCAAGUGUAUCCAAUGGCUAGAUGCAACUAUGGCACGGUACCACAGUUGCACCGUAGUCGGGUCCUAGAAAUUAAGAUAUUCUCUCUCUACGUAUGUCUACACGAAAUAAUAUGCAAAUAUAAUAUUUUAGUUUAUUAUUAAUAGUUUUACAAUAAUAAAAAUCAUUUUGAUAGACUGAAAAAUGUCGUAUUCACAUUUUAUUUUGUACGGACGUCUGCGAGAAAGAAUAUAUAUAUAUAUAGAGGAACGUGUAUUUAAGAUUUAGCUAGUGUGAAGUUGGGAAACUUUUUUUUUUUUUUGAACCCAGGCUAAAAUUAUUUCAAUAAAUUUUGAUCAUGGAGACUAAUAAGAUUUUUUUAGUUAUAUUUAUUAAUUUUUUAGGGACUAACAUGAAUAUUAAUAAUUUUCUUGAGAUUAUUAAAAAAACAAUGUGCUAUUUUACAUCUAUGACUUUUCCAAUCUUUUUUUCUUUCGUUAUUUAAUCCUUUGUGAAUUUUAGUUAAUGCUUGAUAUUAUUUUUUUGCUCAUUUUUUAAAGUAGUAAUUAAAUCUGAACCCUUACAGUAGAAGAUUAUGAAAAAGUAAAGACACAAAAAUCAUAAAAAUCAUUAGUAGGUCCAAAUUUGUGCUAUUUUCAUACAUAACUUGAGAAUAUUUAUAAUUACGCAUCAGAACUAGUGGAGUAGAAUCAGGGAAAUUAAACAUUCUACAAUCAUUGACGUGUGGGUUGGGGAUAAGCAUAAACCUUUUCUAUGCAGUAUAAAAGAAUGCAAUAACUCCUUUCUUUCAUAUCUUCGCAACAAAAGCACAUCUAAUAACUCUUCAGAAUUCUCGUUUUCUUUGUCACAAUGGUUGAUGCGAUCGUUUCCUCUCUCCUGGAGCAGCUGAGCUCAGUUGCAACUGAUGAACUGAAACAACAGGUGAGGCUUGUUACUGGUGUACGACAAGAAGUGAAAAAGCUUACCAUCAAUCUUGAAGGCAUUCGAGCUGUGCUGGAAGAUGCAGAGAAAAGGCAAAUGCAGCACGACAAAGCUGUUACUCUUUGGCUGGAUCAGCUCAAAGACGCAUCUUACGACAUGGAAGAUGUGUUGGAGGAGUGGACCACCUCAAGGCUCAAAUUGCAGAUUGAGGGCGUUGAUGAUGACAAUGCUCUUGCUCUUGCUCCUCAUAAGAAGAAGGUACGUUCCUUCUUUUGUGCUGUAUCAAACUGCUUUGGUAGUUUCAAACAACUCUGUCUUCGUCAUGACAUUGCUGUCAAGAUUAGGGAAAUCAAUGGAAAGCUAGAUGAUAUUGCCUCCCAAAAAGAUAAGUUUAAAUUUGUGGAGAAUGUGAGUAACAAUGUCAAGAAACCAGAGCGAGUGCGAACCACGUCCUUGAUUGAUGAGGGAGAGGUUUGCGGUAGAGUUGAUGAGAAAAAUGAGCUCUUAAGCAAGUUGUUGUGUGAAAGUAGUGAACAACAAAAAGGCCUUCAUGUCAUCUCACUAGUUGGGUUAGGGGGUAUAGGUAAAACCACUCUUGCACAACUAGCCUAUAAUAAUGAUGAGGUGAAAAGAAAUUUUGAAAAAGUUAUAUGGGUGUGUGUAUCAGACACUUUUGAGGAGAUUAGGGUUGCCAAAGCAAUCAUUGAAGGUCUAGGCGAGUCAGCUUCUAGUUUAAGCGAAUUCCAAUCUCUUAUGAGCCAUAUCCAUAGAUCAAUUGAAGGAAAAAAGUUUUUUCUUGUUUUAGAUGAUGUAUGGGAUGGGGAUUACAAUAAAUGGGAACCAUUCUUCCUUUGUCUAAAGAAUGGUCUGCAAGGAAGUAAAAUUUUGGUUACCCCACGUAAUGAGUUAGUUGCACGUAUGAUGGGAUCAACAAAUAUUAUCUUCAUUAAGCAAUUGGCUGAAGAGGAAUGUUGGUCGUUGUUCAAGCGGUUGGCAUUUUCCAGUCGCUCUUUCGAAGAUUGUGAAAAAUUAGAACCAAUCGGGCGAAAAAUUGCACUGAAGUGCGAAGGCCUGCCUCUUGCUGCAAAGGUAAUAGGGAAUCUCUUGCGCUCUAAAAUUACAGUAAAAGAGUGGCAAAGAAUUUUAGAUAGUGAAAUGUGGAAAGUAGAAGAGAUUGGGCACGGUCUUUUAGCUCCUUUGUUGUUAAGUUAUAACGAUUGGCCCUCUAAUUCUAUGGUAAAACAGUGUUUCUCAUAUUGUGCUGUCUUUCCAAAAGACUACAAUAUGAAGAAAAGGGAAUUGAUUAGUCUAUGGAUGGCUCAAGGUUACCUUAAUGCAGACGAAGACGAAGAAAUGGAGAUGAUUGGAGAAGCGUAUUUCAACAUCUUAGCAACACGCUCUUUCUUUCAAGAGUUUGAAAAAGAUUAUGACGAUGAUGAUAUUAUGAGUUGCAAGAUGCAUGACAUAGUACAUCAUUUUGCUCAAUUUGUAAGUAGCAAAGAAUGUUUGUGGCUAGAAAUUGAUGAUAACAAAGAAUCAGUCAUAAACUCUUUUGGUGACAAAGUCCGUCACUUAGGGUUAAAUUUUGAAGGAGGCGCUUCAUUUCCUAUGUCCUUUUUUGAAUUUGAUAGAUUGCGUAGCCUCUUAAUUUAUGAUGAAAGUCUUUCCAAUCCGUCUCUUAGUAGUAGCAUUCUUUCGGAGUUAUUUAGUAAAUUGGCGUGUUUAAGGGCAUUAUUUAUAAGGCAAUCGUCCUUUCAUUUGCGUACAGAUCCAAAUAAGAUUAGAGAAAUUCCAGAAAAUGUUGGAAAAUUGAUACAUUUAAAAUAUCUUAAUUUAUCUAAAUUAUGCAUAGAGAGACUACCUGAGACUUUGUGUGAAUUAUAUAAUUUACAAAAGCUAGAUAUUAGGGGGUGCGAAUAUCUUAGAGAAUUGCCUGCGGGGAUUGGAAAGUUAAUGAACAUGAGGAGUUUACUGAAUGAUAACACUCGUUCGUUGAAGAACUGCCAAUUCUAGAAGAUCGCAGGACAACAGACAUACCGCGUCUUUCUUCCUUGCGAAUAUGGUUUUGCCCCAAAUUAAAGGUGCUGCCGGAUUACCUCCUUCGAACGACGACGCUGCUGGAAUUGAAUAUUAUGGAAUGUCCUCUUCUAGAAGAACAUUAUAGAGAGGGGAAAGGAGAAGACUGGCAUAAGAUAUCUCACAUUCCCCACAUCCAGAUAUCUCACAUCACGUGGCAUUAGUGGUAAUUUCUCCUCCUCCUCUGAUUUACUUCGUUGUUGCUUGCAAUGAAAUUAAUAAAAAUAAUUAUAUUUUGAAUUAAAAUUUCUAUAUUUAUUUACUUUUAAAAAAUAUGUGCUCUUUUGUAAAAUUUCAAGCAAUGUACGAAAAUUUGUUGUGUGUAACUUCCCGAGAGACAAAAUCUCUGUGAUACAUUUGCAGUAAUGUUGAAAACUAAAUUAUCAAUUUUAUCUUGUAUAAUGAUAAUCUUAUUUUUUUAUAUAUAAUUUAUGUGACAUUAAUUCUUUAAAGUAAUUGUGUAAUUGUUUUUAGUAGUACAUUAGCCCACUUUGUUUUACUUCGUACGAGUUUAAUUAUGUUCACCAGGGAUUCGAGGAAAUGUCAGAACCACACUAGCAAUUCACAGGUCCAAUCUAAUUUCUCUCAUACUUUUUGGGCUAAAAAAUAAAUGUAACUCCAACAUAUUUAUUAUUUAAUGGUUCUAUAUAGAAUCAAUCGUGGUAUAAAUAUGUAAAACUUCCUAGUUAUCAAUUUUGUCUUGCAUAAUGAUAAUCGUUUUUUUUUAUAUAUAAUUUAUGUGACAUUAAUUCUUUAAAGUAAUUGUGGAAUUGUUUUUACUACAUUAGCCCUCUUUGUUUUAUUUCAUACGAGUUUAAUUAUGUUCACCAGGGAUUCGAGGAAAUGUCAGAACCACACUAGCAAUUCACAGGUCCAAUCUAAUUUGGUUUUAAUGAUGCAGGCAGGAGAGUAUGCUAAGAAAAUGAAAAGUUUAGCCAAAGGAUUGCUAAAAUGUUCUGCUGGUAAUUCACUUGCUUUAUUUUAUAGAAUUUCAUUUCCAUCUUCUUCUAUUGAUAUCUUGUUGUGAAUAAACAAGAACAGAGAAGUAAAGAUAUAUCAAAAUUUACUAUUACGAUGAUGCUAAAGCAAGCUCAAGCUCAAGCAUUGCAUUUUUAUUUUAUUUAAUUUAUAGAAUUUUCAUUUCCACCUGCAUUGCAUUUUUAUUUAUUUUUAGGUUGACUUUGAAUACUUCAUGGUGAAAAUGACGAGUACAGCCAAAGGAUUGCUAAAUGUUCUGCUGGUAAUUCACUUGCUUUAUUUUAUAGAAUUUCAUUUCCAUCUUCUUCUAUUGAUAUCUUGUUGUGAACUGUGAAUAAAGAAGAACAGGGAAGUAAAUGAUUGGACCACAGAGAAGUAAAGGUGUAUCAAAAUUCGCUAUUAUGAUGAUGCUAAAGCAAGCUCAAGCACAAGCAUUGCACUUUAUAUUUUAUUUAGUUAAUAGAAUUUUCAUUUCCACCUGCAUUUCAUUUUUAGGUUGACUUUGAAGACUCUAUGGAGAACAUUGGGGUAACCAAGGAUUAUCACUGUGGUUAUUGUGCAACGUUUGGCUGCUGGACUUUGAAGAAGGAAGUGAUGGCCGGGUCUGCUCUGUUUCAAUUGAGGAUGGAUAGCUGCCUGAAAGACAUGAUGAUUAUUAUUGCGUGAUGUUAAGGUGCUGAGAUCAUCAUUGCUAUCUUGUUUCAUUCUUGGAAUCAUUUAUCCUGUAUAAACAUUUGUUUUAACAAAUGUUUCAAUGCAUGCUGUAGUAACAAUUUCAUAUCUUGCAUCUCUCGGGUGCAUCAUGAUCACGGGUUUGAGAAAGCAUUUGUGGUAAAGCAAUUCAAUUCGGUACGUUUGGUGCGGUCUCCUAAUGCUACUACCAUAUUUUGUAUAGCAAUUAAAAUUCAGGUAUACAAUCCUAAUAUGCAAUAAAUCAUUGUGUACAAAGUUAUCUAUUAAUUAUAUGGUAACUGAAAUUUUCAUUAUAAUUUUAAUUAUCAUAUUAAUAUUAAAAUUUUUUGUAACCCUCUUUUACUUUGCUUGUACAGAGUACCUGUUUUGGCUGAUAUGUCUAAUUCGUAGAAAUUCAUUUCCAUCGGUUUCCAUUGGUUUUAGCACAAACAGAAACAGAAAUCUGGGGAAAAGUUUUACUUCUUGUGGUAUUAUGCCUUUAUUUAUUCAUUCAUCAUAUUUGUUCAAAUUCAUGCUCUCAUUCAGAGAGCAGCCUUUUCCAGGCUACUUUGUAGCCAAAUUUUCAUGCCAUCGAUGCAUGAUUGUCAUUUAGAUUUUCCAAAUAAUUGUUAGAUUGAAGAAGAAUAAGAAGAUAUUGUUAAAAGGGCAUUUAAUUAGCACCCUCUGAAUUUAGUUGCCAAUAAUGCAUUGAAAUGGUUGGGGAAAGUUAUUGUCUCAAUUAAAUUACAGGUGAUAAGAUGCUGCUCCAAUUUUGCAAGCAUCUCGUGUUGCGAAGAUUUUGCCCACAUGAGAUGCUAUGAUUUUUGACAUCAGGGUAACACAGGUCAAAUUUUAGCAUCAAUAGAUAUCAUCUUCUUUACUGUUCUGCUCGAAAUAUUAAACUUUAGGCAAGUUGUUUUUGGUUGUGUGAGUUAUCAGGUUAAGGAUACUAAGCAGCUUAUUAAGGCAAAUGUCAGAAUGAAGAUUGCUUACCACACCUGGUAUGCAUGAUGGCCAGGAAGAUUAAUUGUUCACAAGCCAAUUUGAUCAGUGUUAGAUUUUUUUCCUCCUUUCGAGGGACAUCAUCAAAUUUGAGUAGAGAAUCUUUGAAGGGAAUUUUGUUGUCAGAGUUUCACAGUAGUGAAUUCUAGGAGCUCGAACUCACUUGAGUGAGAUAUUAGGGAGUAUUGGGGAUUUGGGUUAUGAGUAAUCAUUAUCCUUCCAAUAUGUGUAAGCACUCACUUGUUAGUAAAAUCAUCUUCGUAUAUUGACUAUGUUUCUUUGUUAUCAGGUAG
rnacentral:lncRNA from 1 species